GAUGAACGCUGGCGGCGUGCCUAAUACAUGCAAGUCGAGCGAAUGGAUUAAGAGCUUGCUCUUAUGAAGUUAGCGGCGGACGGGUGAGUAACACGUGGGUAACCUGCCCAUAAGACUGGGAUAACUCCGGGAAACCGGGGCUAAUACCGGAUAACAUUUUGAACCGCAUGGUUCGAAAUUGAAAGGCGGCUUCGGCUGACACUUAUGGAUGGACCCGCGUCGCAUUAGCUAGUUGGUGAGGUAGCGGCUCACCAAGGCAACGAUGCGUAGCCGACCUGAGAGGGUGAUCGGCCACACUGGGACUGAGACACGGCCCAGACUCCUACGGGAGGCAGCAGUAGGGAAUCUUCCGCAAUGGACGAAAGUCUGACGGAGCAACGCCGCGUGAGUGAUGAAGGCUUUCGGGUCGUAAAACUCUGUUGUUAGGGAAGAACAAGUGCUAGUUGAAUAAGCUGGCACCUUGACGGUACCUAACCAGAAAGCCACGGCUAACUACGUGCCAGCCGCCGCUGUAA
rnacentral:rRNA from 1 species